rfam:Candidatus Daviesbacteria bacterium RIFCSPHIGHO2_01_FTLL_41_23 rifcsphigho2_01_scaffold_1107, whole genome shotgun sequence.
AAUUUUGAGAGUUUGAUCCUGGCUCAGGAUAAACGUUGGCGGCGUGCCUUAGGCAUGCAAAUCAAGGGGGGGACGUACCGCAAGGUGCAUCCCAACCGGUGGACGGGUGAGUAAUGCGCGGGAAUGUACCCAAAAGUGGGAUAUAGCUUGCCGAAAGGUGAGGUAAUCUCCCAUGUGAUCGCAAGAUUAAAGCCGCAAGGCGCUUUUGGAUCAGCCCGCGUCCUAUCAGCUUGUUGGUGGGGUAAUGGCCUACCAAGGCGACGACGGGUAGCUGGACUGAGAG